rnacentral:rRNA from 1 species
AUUGAACGCUGGCGGCAGGCCUAACACAUGCCAGUCGAGCGGAUGAAGGGAGCUUGCUCCUGGAUUCAGCGGCGGACGGGUGAGUAAUGCCUAGGAAUCUACCUGGUAGUGGGGGAUAACGUCCGGAAACGGGCGCUAAUACCGCAUACGUCCUGAGGGAGAAAGUGGGGGAUCUUCGGACCUCACGCUAUCAGAUGAGCCUAGGUCGGAUUAGCUAGUUGGUGGGGUAAAGGCCUACCAAGGCGACGAUCCGUAACUGGUCUGAGAGGAUGAUCAGUCACACUGGAACUGAGACACGGUCCAGACUCCUACGGGAGGCAGCAGUGGGGAAUAUUGGACAAUGGGCGAAAGCCUGAUCCAGCCAUGCCGCGUGUGUGAAGAAGGUCUUCGGAUUGUAAAGCACUUUAAGUUGGGAGGAAGGGCAGUAAGUUAAUACCUUGCUGUUUUGACGUUACCAACAGAAUAAGCACCGGCUAACUUCGUG